rnacentral:rRNA from 1 species
UACGGAGGGUGCGAGCGUUGUCCGGAAUCAUUGGGCGUAAAGGGCGCGUAGGUGGCCCGGUCAGCGUGCGGUGAAAGCUCGGGGCUCAACCCCGAGUCGGCCGUGCGAACUGCUGGGCUUGAGCACUGUAGAGGCAGGCGGAAUUCCGGGUGUAGCGGUGGAAUGCGUAGAGAUCCGGAAGAACACCGGUGGCGAAGGCGGCCUGGACCUGGGCCA